CUGCAGCAAGAGAGCAGCAGCGGCUCCCCUGCGCUAGAUGCUGGUACCGCAACGGAGGGGAAGGUGCUGGGAAUGCUGAAGGCAGCAGCGGAGCUCUGAGCAAAGGGGCUGGGAAGCUCUCCCGCUUUCCACCCCUGAAUGGAAAAUAAAGAGCACAGCCAGACU